CAAUUUUAGGGGUUUUGGUAUAUAAAAAAGAAUGCCAGGGUUUGAGAGUGACUCUGUAUUUACUUUUCAGGGAGCCAGGUGUGGGGAGGACAGCCAGUGUAUCCCCAGGAAACUGACGAUGCCUGCAUCUUCCCUGAUGGUGGACCUUGCCCAUCUGGCCCUUGGUCUCAGAAGAGAAGCUUUGUUUAUGUCUGGAAGACCUGGGGCCAAUACUGGCAAGUUCUAGGGGGCCCAGUGUCUGGGCUGAGCAUUGGGACAGGCAGGGCAAUGCUGGGCACACACACCAUGGAAGUGACUGUCUACCAUCGCCGGGGAUCCCGGAGCUAUGUGCCUGUUGCUCAUUCCAGCUCAGCCUUCACCAUUACUGACCAGGUACCUUUCUCCGUGAGCGUGUCCCAGCUGCGGGCUUUGGAUGGAGGGAACAAGCACUUCCUGAGAAAUCAGCCUCUGACCUUUGCCCUCCAGCUCCAUGACCCCAGUGGCUAUCUGGCUGAAGCUGACCUCUCCUACACCUGGGACUUUGGAGACAGUAGUGGAACCCUGAUCUCUCGGGCACUUGUGGUCACUCAUACUUACCUGGAGCCUGGCCCAGUCACUGCCCAGGUGGUCCUGCAGGCUGCCAUUCCUCUCACCUCCUGUGGCUCCUCCCCAGUUCCAGGCACCACAGAUGGGCACAGGCCAACUGCAGAGGGCCCUAACACCACAGCUGGCCAAGUGCCUACUACAGAAGUCGUGGGUACUACACCUGGUCAGG
rnacentral:sRNA from 1 species